rnacentral:rRNA from 1 species
GAUGAACGCUGACAGAAUGCUUAACACAUGCAAGUCGAUGGGGAAGUGGUGCUUGCACCAUGGUAACCAUGGCGGACGGGUGGGUAACGCGUAAGGAACUUACCUGCGGGACCGGGAUAACAGCAGGAAACUGCUGACAAGACCGGAUAAGGUCAUUAAGCUGCAUAGCUUAGUGAUGAAAGGAGACGCCUGCGGAGAGCCUUGCGUCCUAUUAGCUAGUUGGAGGGGUAACGGCCCACCAAGGCGAAGAUAGGUAGCCGGCCUGAGAGGGUGGACGGCCACAAGGGGACUGAGAUACGGCACUUACUCCUACGGGAGGCAGCAGUGGGGAAUAUUGGACAAUGGGGGCAACCCUGAUCCAGCAAUUCUGUGUGCACGAAGACGGUUUUCGGAUUGUAAAGUGCUUUCAGAAGGGAAGAAGGAAGUGACGGUACCUGCAGAAGAAGCGACGGCUAAAUACGUG